rnacentral:misc_RNA from 1 species
GCCAAACGAAAACCAAUGUUCAUACAUUGUCUUCAACUCAAACUAUAUGUAGUUAAGAAUCUAGACUAAAUUCAUAUCAAGUGUAGCAAAAGAAUAUUAGAUGCUGUAGUAAUCAAACCCUCUAGCAUAAAAUUGUAGAUCAGCUCAUGAGAAAAGGAAUGUGCAUCUUUUCUUGCCUCUGAUUGAGAGUGCUCACAUGCCUAGUGUUGGUGGAAUGUCAAUUAGGAAGUUCUGAUGCUUUCGCCACUCCCUCGGAUCUAUAAUGAGCUAUGGUAUGAUUCGCCUGCUGUAGAGGAAGCAGUAAAUCGUUGUCAAUGCAAUCGUACAACUCUUUGCAGAGGUUGUCUGUUAGUACGGAGAGAGUGAUGAUCUUCGUUCUAGUCUCCAAAAGUUUAUCUUCAGGAUAUUUAGCAAAUGGUUCUUCCAAGAACAUCGAAAGUCUCUCAACGUUUAUUUCAAGUUGCUGCUGCAGGUUUUCAAAAAGGUUCUUCUUUAUUUCCCUAUCUUUUUGUGUCAUUUCAUCCUUGAACAGCGUCUGAUCAAAAACGUAAAAUGAAACUGGAUAGGAACAGGAGAGAAUUCGCCUCAAUUCAAGGAGUCUAUUACAUCCAUUUUCUACCCAGCUGAAGUCCUUUGAUAGCAAUUCCCUUGCUUCGAGUUUCAACACUUCAAACUUUAGUUUUUGCUUCAUGUUUGCUUCAGCCUCCAACGAAUCACGAUGAACCAUAUAGCGCUCAUAAUAAUGAGUAUAGCGCAAGAGAUCAUUUCUGACAGUCGUCGACUUAUCCUCUUCCCCUUCCUUAUAAAUGCCACAAGUGUGACCUCGAAUGCUACUCCAUGUGUGGUCUAAGCCAGUAGCUCCACCGCACAACCAACAAAACGGCUGUCCACAUCUACAUCUUACAAGGUUGCAUCCCCCAUUCUUCUCCACGGCAUUGUGACAGUUUGGGCAAUGUUUGGCAUUUUCACUUAUCCACGUUACUGUCUUCCCAUCGUUCUUGCACUUCUUCAUCCAAAGUUUCCACAUCAGACAUGAACAAGGUGAGUGCGCUUCUGAUAAACAAUUAAAACAGAACUGUACACCACAUGCACAUUCAACUUCACAGCAGUAAUCAUCAUCCUCAAUACGAAUUGCAUUUCCACAAUGA